rnacentral:rRNA from 2 species
AAAUUGAAGAGUUUGAUCAUGGCUCAGAUUGAACGCUGGCGGCAGGCCUAACACAUGCAAGUCGAACGGUAACAGAAAGCA